rnacentral:rRNA from 1 species
CGAUUCUGGCUCAGGAUGAACGCUAGCGGCAGGCUUAACACAUGCAAGUCGAGGGGCAUCGGGAGUAGCAAUACUUGCCGGCGACCGGCGCAAGGGUGCGUAACGCGUGAGCAACAUGCCCGUAUCAGGGGGAUAAUCCAUGGAAACGUGGUCUAAUACCCCAUAGUAAUUAUGUAAGGCAUCUUAUAUAAUUUAAAGCUUUGGUGGAUACGGAUUGGCUCGCGUGACAUUAGCUAGAUGGUAAGGUAACGGCUUACCAUGGCUACGAUGUCUAGGGGUUCUGAGAGGAAGGUCCCCCACACUGGAACUGAGACACGGUCCAGACUCCUACGGGAGGCAGCAGUGAGGAAUAUUGGACAAUGGAUGGAAAUCUGAUCCAGCCAUGCCGCGUGCCAGGAAGACGGCCCUAUGGGUUGUAAACUGCUUUUGUAUGGGAGCAAUAAGGGCUACGCGUAGUCCGAUGAGAGUACCAUACGAAUAAGCACCGGCUAACUCCGUGCCAGCCGCGGC